rnacentral:rRNA from 1 species
CCUACGGGAGGCAGCAGUGAGGAAUAUUGGUCAAUGGGCGGAAGCCUGAACCAGCCAAGUAGCGUGCGGGAUGAAGGCCCUACGGGUCGUAAACCGCUUUUGCACGGGGAUAACACCCUCCACUUGUGGAGGUCUGCAGGUACCGUGCGACUAAGGGCCGGCUAAUUCCGUGCCAGCAGCCGCGGUAAUACGGAAGGCCCGAGCGUUAUCCGGAUUCAUUGGGCUUAAAGGGAGCGUAGGCGGGCGUUCAAGUCAGCUGUAAAAUCGCGCGGCACAACCCCGUCGAGCCGUUGAAACUGGCAGACUUGAGUUGGCGAGAAGUACGCGGAAUGCGCGGUGUAGCGGUGAAAUGCAUAGAUAUCGCGCAGAACUCCGAUUGCGAAGGCAGCGUACCGGCGCCAGACUGACGCUGAGGCACGAAAGCGUGGGGAUCGAACAGGAUUAGAUACCCGGGUAGUC